rnacentral:rRNA from 1 species
UACGUAGGGUGCGAGCGUUGUCCGGAUUUAUUGGGCGUAAAGGGCUCGUAGGCGGUUUGUCGCGUCGGGUGUGAAAUCCUACUGCUUAACGGUGGGCUUGCAUUCGGUACGGGCAGACUGGAGUGUGGCAGGGGAGACUGGAAUUCCUGGUGUAGCGGUGGAAUGCGCAGAUAUCAGGAGGAACACCGGUGGCGAAGGCGGGUCUCUGGGCCAUUACUGACGCUGAGGAGCGAAAGCGUGGGGAGCGAACAGGAUUAGAUACCCUGGUAGUCCACGCUGUAAACGUUGGGCGCUAGGUGUGGGGACUGUUUCCACGGUUUCCGUGCCGUAGCUAACGCAUUAAGCGCCCCGCCUGGGGAGUACGGCCGCAAGGCUAAA